rnacentral:rRNA from 1 species
GAGUUUGAUUAUGGCUCAGGAUGAACGCUAGCGGGAGGCUUAAUACAUGCAAGUCGAGGGGCAGCAUGGGACUUCGGUCCUGAUGGCGACCGGCGCACGGGUGAGUAACGCGUACACGACCUACCUUCGAGAGUGGGAUAGUAUCGGGAAACUGAGAUUAAUACCGCAUAGUAUUGGUUUAAAUAAAGAGGACCAAUUAAAGAUCCGUCGCUCGAAGAUGGGUGUGCGUUAGAUUAGAUAGUUGGUGAGGUAACGGCUCACCAAGUCGACGAUCUAUAGGGGGCGUGAGAGCGUGGCCCCCCACACGGGUACUGAGACACGGACCCGACUCCUACGGGAGGCAGCAGUAAGGAAUAUUGGACAAUGGAGGCAACUCUGAUCCAGCCAUCCCGCGUGCAGGAUGACGGCCCUACGGGUUGUAAACUGCUUUUAGACAGGACGAAACGCUGUCAUUUAUGAUGGCCUGACGGUACUGUCAGAAUAAGCACCGGCUAACUCCGUGCCAGCAGCCGCGGUAAUACGGAGGGUGCAAGCGUUAUCCGGAAUCACUGGGUUUAAAGGGUGCGUAGGCGGCCAGAUAAGUCAGAGGUGAAAGCCCACCGCUUAACGGUGGAACUGCCUUUGAUACUGUUUGGCUUGAAUCAGCUGAGGUCAGCGGAAUGUGUCAUGUAGCGGUGAAAUGCAUAGAUAUGACAUAGAACACCAAUUUGCGAAGGCAGCUGACUAGACCUGCAUUGACGCUGAGCACGAAAGCGUGGGGGGAGCGAACAGGAUUAAGAAUACCCCUGGGUAGUCCCACCGCCCCUAAAACGAA